GCCGAGAUGGCGGAAUUGGUAGACGCGUGGGUCUCAAAAACCCAUGAAGGCAACUUCGUGAGGGUUCGAUUCCCUCUCCCGGCACAA
rnacentral:tRNA from 4 species